UCCCCUGUAGCUCAAUGGCAGAGCAUCCGGCUGUUAACCGGAGGGUUGUAGGUUCGAAUCCUACCAGGGGAGCCG
rnacentral:tRNA from 1 species